CGCCAGACUCCUACGGGAGGCAGCAGUGGGGAAUAUUGCACAAUGGGGGAAACCCUGAUGCAGCGACGCCGCGUGAGCGAUGAAGUAUUUCGGCAUGUAAAGCUCUAUCAGCAGGGAAGAAGAUGACGGUACCUGACUAAGAAGCCCCGGCUAACUACGUGCCAGCAGCCGCGGUAAUACGUAGGGGGCAAGCGUUAUCCGGAUUUACUGGGUGUAAAGGGAGCGUAGACGGCGAUGCAAGCCAGAUGUGAAAGCCCGGGGCUCAACCCCGGGACUGCAUUUGGAACUGUGUGGCUGGAGUGUCGGAGAGGCAGGCGGAAUUCCUAGUGUAGCGGUGAAAUGCGUAGAUAUUAGGAGGAACACCAGUGGCGAAGGCGGCCUGCUGGACGAUGACUGACGUUGAGGCUCGAAAGCGUGGGGAGCAAACAGGAUUAGAUACCCCAGUA
rnacentral:rRNA from 1 species